GGAGAGGUUGGGUUGGGUGAAGGCCCUCUUAAGAAUGUUAAUCUCUCCACCAGAAAGUCUUUUUAGGAAGAAUAGAAGUAACUCUGAUUUAUCCUUAUCUUCAGUCAAAGCCAUUUUUAAUGCCUAGUGAAGGGAAAUGGAGCAGCUACAACAUAAAUGUGUCUCUGUAUGUUACAGGCAACUUCAUUUCUUUAACCCCCCCCAUUUUACAGAUGGGAAAAUGGAUCGCAAACAGCUGUGUGUAUGUGUGUGUGUGCACGUGUGUGUGCACACGCUCUCAUGUAUGAGUGUUUUGGGAGUGGGGAAUGAAUUAGUGCCUUGAUCUUUUGGGCAGAAAGAUCCUCUCUAAUUCCAAGACAUAAUAAUUGCUGUCAUUUAUUAUGCAUGGUAAAAUGACAUUCAGAGUGGAGGACAAUGGCAAAGCCUGGAUUAGCAUCCCAUUUUACAGGCUCUCCAGCCUCCUAGCUAGUCUUUGUGAAGGUAUUCUACCCCAGAGGAGUUCAUUCAUAUAAUCCAACAACCUUGCAAUCCUGCUAUAAAUUUAAUCACAAUGACAUUUUCCUCAAUGGUUUAAUAGUGUUCCUUAGAAUACAACUGGCAUAGCCAGGCUAGUCAAUUACAUGACUCAGUUGAUUUUGCUCUGGUAAUUCUACUUUGCCAAUUUCUGGCAGUAAUUCUAAGGACGGGAGCACAUUGUGGCAAUCCCUUUCAACUUUUUUGAUUGUUUCUGAUGGAGGUGUGAAUACUUAUAAGAGUGGCAGUUGGUUUUUCCAUAAGCCAGAUUUUUUCAUCAGUUAUUAGAUAUUUUAAAAUAUAUUCUGUAGCCAGAAUGUCCAUGUAUCAUACUGAAUUUUUCAGUCUUUAAUUUUGGUUUUGUUAGUUAUAGCUUAAAGGUAAGAAACAAAGUUUUAAUGCAUUUAAGUCUCUUUCUGGCACUAAAUUGCUACAUAACCUUGAGCAAGUCACAGUAUUUUUCCACCUCAAAUUUUUAUUGUUGUUAUUCAGCACAAUAGGAAUCAUUGAAUUUAUCAUCCUUGUAUUUAUAGAAUGAGGGUCAAGUAGUAUAGUAUUGAAUUAUUCAGCUUAUAUUUUUGCAAAAUGCUUGAAUCUUCAAUUGGUGCAUAGGAUUUAUUUAACCUAUUUCUUGAAAUAUGGGACAGAUGACAAUGAUAAUUUGGGAAAAUAAGUCAUAAUUAACUGACAUAAGUGUCUAUACUUUAACUUUGAAAGUGUUUUUACAGGAAUAAGAAUAGAGUCUUUCAUAGUGCUUCCUUGUAAAUUCCUAGAAAGGGCUGAAUUGAUGAGAAAGUUUGUAUGUGGGCAUUUAUUUUUAUUUACUUUUUAUUUUUCACUGUAUAUCUCUUAGACAAAUAAGCUACAUUCCUUGAGUUAUAAUUGCUUCAAGCAAUAUUUUUUCUGGUUUCUCUGCCCAAUUCUAGUUUGUCAUUUUGUUUAACAAAGUUUAUUGAUUCUACCUAAAUCUUUACAAAAGUGGGUAAUAACAUUCUGAACAAAUAUUGCCAAAUCAGAAUGCUACUUUCAGAAUGAUCUAAAACAUUUCACGUUGUACAAGAAUCAAAUUAGAGAAUAAAACUUUCACCCAUGGAAAGGCAGGUUUUAAUUUCUAAAAUAGAUGGAAGACCUAACUUCUACUCCUGACCUUUGUCACUACCUGUACAUAUGACCUUGGACAAAUAACUUAAAAACUCCAAGCCUCAGUUUCUUAUCUGUGAAAUGAAAUUUGCAGACCAAAUUAUAUCUAUAGUUCUGUUUAGCUUUCUAAUUCAAUCGUUCUGAAUCUGAAAAGGAUCCAAUAUUUGAAACAUUAAGUUCUUUUAAAAACUGUAAUUACUAUUAAGCCUUUUGUUUUGACAUCACCUUCAUUUCUGAACUUAACUCCCCUUCCUCCCCCCAACCUAG